rnacentral:rRNA from 1 species
GAAUAUUGGACAAUGGGCGAAAGCCUGGUCCAGCCAUGCCGCGUGUGUGAAGAAGGUCUUCGGAUUGUAAAGCACUUUAAGUUGGGAGGAAGGGUUGUAACCUAAUCCGUUGCAAUUUUGACGUUACCGACAGAAUAAGCACCGGCUAACUCUGUGCCCGCAGCCGCGGUAAGACAGAGGGUGCAAGCGUUAAUCGGGAUUACUGGGCGUAAAGCGCGCGUAGGUGGUUGGUUAAGUUGGAUGUGAAAGCCCCGGGCUCAACCUGGGAACUGCAUCCAAAACUGGCCGGCUAGAGUACGGUAGAGGGUGGUGGAAUUUCCUGUGUAGCGGUGAAAUGCGUAGAUAUAGGAAGGAACACCAGUGGCGAAGGCGACCACCUGGACUGAUACUGACACUGAGGUGCGAAAGCGUGGGGAGCAAACAGG